GACGAACGCUGGCGGCGUGCCUAAUACAUGCAAGUAGGACGCAGUUGCGAACGGGUGAGUAACGCGUAGGUAACUACCUAUUAGAGGGGGAUAACUAUUGGAAACGAUAGCUAAUACCGCAUACUAGUAGAUGGACCUGCGUUGUAUUAGCUAGUAGGUAGGGUAAUGGCCUACCUAGGCAACGAUACAUCGCCGACCGGAGAGGGUGUGCGGCCACACGGGGACGGAGACACGGCCCAGAAUCCUACGGGAGGACGCAGUAGGGAAUCGUCGGAAAUGGGGGGAAGCCUGACAGAGCAACGCGGCGUGAGUGAAGAAGGUUUUCGGAUCGUAAAGCUCUGUUGUUAAGGAAGCGGUACUUAACCAGAAAGGGACGGCUAACUACGUGCCAGUCGCCGCGGUAAUUC
rnacentral:rRNA from 1 species